ACUCCUUCCCCAAAUUCCGAUCUGCGAAGGCAUCAGAGGAGAACGGCUGUGAGAAGCAGUGGGCGGGAACCCAUCCUUGGCUAGGUUUACAGUGCUGUUGAAGGGGCUGAUGGCGGCUACUGUUUGUUUUUACCGUCUCUCGCUCUCUCUCUCUGAUAAUUCCCUCCAAGUUGGACACUUAAAAUAAGGUCCUCGUAAACUCCUUCAGCUUGAGAGUUUCCAGGAAAGGGAAUGUUAAUUUUGUUGACAAAUUUCAGUAUCCCAAAGCCCCAGGUCUUAAUUCAUUGUCAAACUCUCGGUCCUGAGCCUGCAUACUCCCCUUGUGCUCCUAAUUAGUCUUGUCAUGAGCUCCUAUGCUGUUGUCUUAAACACAGCCCUGUGUCCUGGGAGCCAAAGGGCGCUUUGGGGUGCGUAGUGCUGUAUUUGUGUAUAUUUAAAAAAAAUAGUCAUCGCUCGUCUUGCUGUGGCCGCCAUCAUUUUUCCGUGGAGGUGUUGCCAUAGAGAUGUUGUCUGAUCCAUCUCUAUUGAUAUCACCCUUUAAAGGGGCCCCUGAAUAGGCACUGAGAUACAUGAAAUGGCAGCUACGAAACAUCUUAAAAGGUCAGAAAAUAAAUGAAUUGUUGGCUAGAGGUCAGCCAACAAUAAAAAAUUUGGAUGAUCAAAACUGCUUGACAUAUAUACAAUGCUAGCGUGUCCAUCUUGCAGAGGGCUUAAAGAUGAUCCACAUCAGCUCCCACAUUACACAGACAGUUGCGUUUGGAGCAUGGAUCAGACCUCACUUAUUCUGGAGUUCUCAAGGACUCCCAACAGCACCUGCUCAGAAGCCCUGGAAAGUCAGAGCACAAUUAAGGACAUUCGCUCUAAGAAGACACUCUCACGGUUAUCGCUGGAACCCAGGGUCCCUCCAAUUGGAAAUGUGAAGUCAAAGGAGGAAAUUGCUCUUAGGCUGAGUCACAAGACUCGUGUCCUUUUCUCCUGAGGUAGAUAAGAGACACACACACAGGCAGAUACACACCUCAUGCCUCCAGGAGCCGCAGAGGCAGAGAAUGCAAAAAAUGUGGUGGUGCCAGCCGCAGCGAGGUCUGGAAAUGCCUUCUUAAUUGAGCCUUUCUGGGAGCUGCACAGGCUGGCUGGAGGAGGGACAGGAAUGGAGAGGCGAGUGAGGUGGAAGGGGCCACGAAGGGCCAUGUCUGAGAUGGGGCCCAGGGGUCUUUGAUCCUACUUCGUUUGUCAUGAGUUUAGAGACCCAGAAAAAAGAGCCUUGAGUUUCUUCCAAUAAAGCACUGUUACCUGAAAAA
ensembl:lncRNA novel transcript